UGCCAGAUCGACGAGAGCAGCAGCCUUCUGAAAACGAGAUCCGCGAGUGAUAGCAUCAGAGCGGCGAUUAAACGUCGACGUUUGAUCUCGUUCCUUGAAGCUGCCAUCGCCGCUAGUUUCUCCAAGCAAAGGCUUCUCCAUGUUGUUCAGUUGUUCCUCCUCCAAGAGAGAGAGACUCUUCUUCUUCUUCUUCUUCUUCUUCAGCUCCUUCUGUUGUCUCGUUUUAAUGUAAAAAGAGACGAAAGCGACAGAGAGAAUUUAUUGUUAUAUAACGAACAGAUCGGUGGAGGGGA
rnacentral:misc_RNA from 1 species